UACGUAGGGUGCAAGCGUUAAUCGGAAUUACUGGGCGUAAAGCGUGCGCAGGCGGUUUUGUAAGUCUGUCGUGAAAGCCCCGGGCUCAACCUGGGAAUUGCGAUGGAGACUGCAAAGCUAGAGUGUGUCAGAGGGGAGUAGAAUUCCACGUGUAGCAGUGAAAUGCGUAGAUAUGUGGAGGAACACCGAUGGCGAAGGCAGCCCCCUGGGAUAACACUGACGCUCAUGCACGAAAGCGUGGGGAGCAAACAGG
rnacentral:rRNA from 1 species